UGAGUACGAAAGAUGAUCGCGGGUGCUUGAUUGCACUCGAGGAAAGUCCGAGCUCCUUAGGGCAGGGUGCUGGAUAACGUCCAGCGAGGGCGACCUCAGGGAAAGUGCCACAGAAAUGCAGACCGCCUAACCUUGGUUAGGUAAGGAUGGAACGGUGCGGUAAGAGCGCACCAGCAGUCAGGUGACUGACUGGCUAGGUAAACCCCACCUGGAGCAAGACCGAAUAGGGAAGGGAUGAAGCUGCCCGCUGAGCCUUCCGGGUUGUGUCGCUUGAGCUGUCAGGCAACUGCCGGCCCAGAUAAAUGAUCAUCACCGCUAACGCGGAACAGAACUCGGCUUAUUGACUACUCAGACA
rfam:Sporomusa sphaeroides DSM 2875 SPSPH_contig000001, whole genome shotgun sequence.